rnacentral:tmRNA from 2 species
GGGGGCGAACUGGGUUCGACGGAGGUAAGAACCAACUGGUUGCAUGUCGCGGAUGUCAGUCACCGUGUAAAAAGGCUGUCAAAAACUAUAAAUGCCAACGAUAAUGUUGAGUAUGCUGUCGCUGCUUAAUAACCAGUAGACAGUCGUCGGUCCCAAGCGUGUCUGGGUGAGGGAGUUACCGGCGCCAAUCCCACAGACUGGUCCCAAAUGAGCCCGAUGGCGUUUGGGGCGAGACUUUCAUCGGGAACCUGCGCAAAAAGCCUGCCCCUGGGCGUUUUGAUGCUGGAUCAAAUCAGCGGGCUAAACAUGUAGAUGCCUUUUGAGGACGACUUUCGGACGCGGGUUCGACUCCCGCCGCCUCCACCA